GGUGGCUCAGUGGUAGAGUGCUUGCCUUGCAUGCAUGGUCCCUAGGUUCAAUUCCUCAGCACCA
rnacentral:tRNA from 1 species